UGGAGAAUUGAGGGGGGCUGCUCCUAGUACGAGAGGACCGGAGUGGACGCAUCACUGGUGUUCGGGUUGUCAUGCCAAUGGCACUGCCCGGUAGCUAAAUGCGGAAGAGAUAAGUGCUGAAAGCAUCUAAGCACGAAACUUGCCCCGAGAUGAGUUCUCCCUGAGACUUUAAGUCUCCUGAAGGAACGUUAAAGACGAUGACGUUGAUAGGCCGGGUGUGUAAGCGCAGCGAUGCGUUGAGCUAACCGGUACUAAUGAACCGUGAGGCUUAACCUUAC
rnacentral:rRNA from 1 species